GGGGGGAUGGCUCAGUUGGGAAGAUCUGAGUCUGGUUUACCCUUUCGAUUUAUCGAGAGGUCGUAGGUUCGAAUCCCGCUCCCCCCC